rnacentral:snRNA from 1 species
AAUGUGAUCAUGUUUUGAUUU